rnacentral:rRNA from 1 species
CCUACGGGAGGCAGCAGUGAGGAAUAUUGGUCAAUGGACGAGAGUCUGAACCAGCCAAGUAGCGUGAAGGAUGCCUGCCCUAUGGGUUGUAAACUUCUUUUAUAUGGGAAUAAAAUGUUCCCCGUGUGGGAUUUUGUAUGUACUUUAUGAAUAAGGAUCGGCUAACUCCGUGCCAGAAGCCGCGGUAAUACGGAGGAUCCGAGCGUUAUCCGGAUUUGUUGGGUUUAAAGGGAGCGUAGGUGGGUUGUUAAGUCAGUUGUGAAAGUUUGCGGCUCAACCGUAAAAUUGCAGUUGAUACUGGCAGUCUUGAGUACAGUAGAGGUGGGCGGAAUUCGUGGUGUAGCGGUGAAAUGCUUAGAUAUCACGAAGAACUCCGAUUGCGAAGGCAGCUCACUAGACUGCAACUGACACUGAGGCUCGAAAGUGUGGGUAUCAAACAGGAUUAGAUACCCGGGUAGUC